AGUCAAUCCAAUGUUGUACCUAUACUAUUGAUUCGACCAUAUGCAGCCAGAUGCGGAAUCUUAUAACGAGAACUAUAUGUUGAACGAGUUACGAUCAAACUGGAGUGGUGGACUACAGUUCAAAUGUAAAACAUAAAACGGAAACAUCAAUUCAGAUCGAAAGGUCCACAUGAGUCGUAACAAAAUUGCAAAAGAUAGUGUCAAAUCCAACAAGUUAAUAAUGUCAACGAGAGAUGACAGUUAAACACGUUGAUAUUGACUGAACAUAUAUACAAAAA